UGACUGCCUCCUCUGGAUUCCUGGUGUAGAAGUUUCCAUUGCUGGAAGCAUCAAGAGCCAUCUGGUACUGCACCGCGAUGCGUCUGUAGAAAGUACUGAGCAGUUGUACUUCAUUGAAUCCAUGGUGUGAACAGUCUCUCUGAUAAGACUUGAAUCUGAUCCAAGAGCCCCUGAAUGAUUUUGCAGGCUCUUGAGUGAAUGUAGCAAUCUUGCUCCUCAAGUCUUCAGUACGCGCUCAUCAAAGAAAUUGUAUAAGAAUGCAUUCUUGAUGUCGCUCCAGGAUUUAAGAGAUCCUAGUUGUAACUGCUUGAGCCAAUGCAGAGCUUCUCCAGCAAG
rnacentral:lncRNA from 1 species